CACCCCUCAAAUUCCAUUUGAUGUUGGGCGACGCCCGCCGCGGCCAGCCUUAAAGCGAAUGACGGUUCCCAACCAACCUCGGGCGUACAAGUAUCGCGACGGGGGAGGAUCGGGGGCCUGUCCCACACAGCUUCUAAA
rnacentral:misc_RNA from 1 species